rnacentral:rRNA from 1 species
GAUGCCUAAUACAUGCAAGUCGAGCGAACAGAUAAGGAGCUUGCUCCUUUGACGUUAGCGGCGGACGGGUGAGUAACACGUGGGCAACCUACCCUAUAGUUUGGGAUAACUCCGGGAAACCGGAGCUAAUACCGAAUAAUCUAUUUUGUCCUCAUGGUGAAAUACUGAAAGACGGUUUCGGCUGUCGCUAUAGGAUGGGCCCGCGGCGCAUUAGCUAGUUGGUGAGGUAACGGCUCACCAAGGCGACGAUGCGUAGCCGACCUAGAGAGGGUGAUCGGCCACACUGGGACUGAGACACGGCCCAGACUCCUACGGGAGGCAGCAGUAGGGAAUCUUCCACAAUGGGCGAAAGCCUGAUGGAGCAACGCCGCGUGAGUGAG